GGGGAGGUAGCUCAGCUGGUUAGAGCAGGGGACUCAUAAUCCCUGGGUCGCGGGUUCGAGCCCCGCCCUCCCUACGA
rnacentral:tRNA from 3 species